rnacentral:rRNA from 1 species
UACAGAGGUCUCAAGCGUUGUUCGGAUUCAUUGGGCGUAAAGGGUGCGUAGGCGGCGCGGUAAGUCGGGUGUGAAAUCUCGAGGCUUAACUCCGAAACUGCAUUCGAUACUACCGUGCUUGAGGACUGGAGAGGAGACUGGAAUUUACGGUGUAGCGGUGAAAUGCGUAGAUAUCGUAAGGAAGACCAGUGGCGAAGGCGGGUCUCUGGACAGUUCCUGACGCUGAGGAGCGAAAGCGUGGGGAGCGAACAGG